UGGAGUCGGGGGUGGGGACCAGGCUUUUCAUCUCAGACAAACAUUACUCAUCUCACCGCCGUUUUAUCCCGUCGUGUGUUGUAUUGUAGAGAAUUUGGAAAUCAUACAAAGCCAUACUCACCAAUUCACUCUUUGUAAGCCAUAAUUGUCCACCCAUGAGCUUAAGCUUUGCUCUUGAACCCGGCUUCCUCCAUCAAGUCCGUGGAUUUCCGGUUCCCUUCACCUUCAAACUAAAGAGCAGGAGUAGAAGAUCAAGCUUCCCAAUUUUUGCCCAUUUCCCCAAUCCCAAGUGCAAUCAAGAAUUGUUGGUGGUGGUGGGUGGCGGAGCUGCCGGAAUAUAUGGUGCUAUUUGGGCUAAAACUGUUGCACCCAACCUCAAUGUUGUUGUCAUUGAAAAGGCACACCCAUUGUCUAAGGUAAAAGUUUCCGGAGGAGGUAGAUGCAAUGUGACUAAUGGGCAUUGUCCUGAAAAUAAGGUUAUGGCUGAACAUUACCCCAGGGGAAACAAAGAAUUAAAGGGUUCCUUCUUUAGCAUGCACAGUCCACUUGAUACUAUGUCCUGGUUUACUGAUCGUGGGGUCAAACUCAAGACUGAAAGUGAUGGUCGGGUAUUUCCUGUCAGUAAUAGCUCAUCGUCAAUCAUUGAUUGCCUUAUGACCGAAGCAAGGAAAAAAGGAGUUUCCAUUCAGACAGGAAAAACAGUGACUACUGCGUCUAGCAGUGCUGCUAGGAAGUUUUCUCUCAAGAUUGAUAUGCGUACAUCUUCCACUGACCUUGUUGAAGCUGAUUAUCUAUUAAUUGCUACUGGAAGCAGCAAGCAGGGUUAUAGUCUUGCAGGUCAGCUUGGCCAUUCGAUUAUAGAUCCAGUCCCUAGUCUCUUUACCUUCAAGGUCAGAGACAAUAACUUGGCUGAACUGUCGGGGGUUACUUUCUCCAAGGUGAAAGCUAAACUGAAACUGGAAAACAGUGGAAGAACUGUACCGCAGCUUACACAGAUUGGACCAAUGCUAGUUACGCACUGGGGACUUAGUGGCCCCGUAAUUCUUCGGCUGUCUGCUUGGUCAGCUCGUGAACUAUACAGCUCAAGCUACAAAGGGAUCCUUACUUUGGACUUUGCACCUGAUCUUCAUAAAGGAGAAGUGAACGCAAUCCUCUUAAAACAAAAGAAGAAGUUUGCAAAGCAAAAGGUGGUCAACUCAAGCCCUCCAGAGUUCAAUCUUGUCAAGAGGUUUUGGAAAUAUAUGCUUAAACGCGAGGGUUUAGCUGAAGAUAUCUCAUGGGCUUCCAUUUCUAGUGAAGCAUUGCUUUCUGUUGCCUCACUGCUAAAACAGUGCUCAUUUGAAGUGGCAGGAAAGGGUCAAUUUAAAGAUGAAUUUGUCACUGCUGGAGGUGUUCCCUUGUCUGAGAUUUCGUUGAAGACUAUGGAGAGCAAAAUACUGCCAAACUUAUUUUUUGCAGGAGAGAUAUUGAACAUUGAUGGAGUAACCGGCGGAUUCAAUUUUCAGGUAGCAUGGUGGUAGUAUCGGUAAUGCAUAGUAGCAGUGGGCUAUGUUAGUGAGGGCCGGGUGGCCCUUACCUUGUCCGUAAGAAGGAGCUGUGGUGAAUACUCUCUUUUUCUCAUUGGAAGGGGGAUGAAAGACUUUGUUGAUGUCAGACACACAAUUCGUUUGACAAAGAAUGCGUGGACGGGGGGUUAUAUUGCUGGCACAAGCAUCGGCGACUUAGCAGCAGUCCGCACACCUUAACAUGGAGUGAUUACCAUGAAAUUGUCCAACCUAUGCUUUUGGUACGAAGCUUGGACGUAUGCUCUUUGAUACUGGUUGUUUUAUUCAGCUGGUGCUAUGACUGCGUUUAUACUUUUAGUGUUCUGCUUUGUCAAUCUAUUAUCUAUUGGGCACAAAGUUUAGGAAUUAGAGAGGGAAAAGAGAGGGGGUGGAUUCUUUUGUAUCAUGUAGUAAGUAUCACAAAAGUUUCUUACUCGUGUAAUAUUUGCUUCCUAUUAGAACAGAUGAUAAUUACAUGAAUACCAUUAUUAAAAUUCUUGUCUUGCCCGUUUUUUUCA